rnacentral:rRNA from 1 species
UACGUAGGGUCCGAGCGUUGUCCGGAAUUACUGGGCGUAAAGAGCUCGUAGGUGGUUUGUCGCGUUGUUCGUGAAAACUCACAGCUCAACUGUGGGCGUGCGGGCGAUACGGGCAGACUGGAGUACUGCAGGGGAGACUGGAAUUCCUGGUGUAGCGGUGGAAUGCGCAGAUAUCAGGAGGAACACCGGUGGCGAAGGCGGGUCUCUGGGCAGUAACUGACGCUGAGGAGCGAAAGCAUGGGGAGCGAACAGG